GAUGAACGCUGGCGGCAUGCCUAAUACAUGCAAGUCGAACGAGAGGAAGGAAAGCUUGCUUUUCUGAAUCUAGUGGCGAACGGGUGAGUAACACGUAGGUAACCUGCCCAUGUGCCCGGGAUAACUUCUGGAAACGGAUGCUAAAACCGGAUAGGUAGCAGACAAGCAUUUGACUGCUAUUAAAGUGGCUAAGGCCAUGAACAUGGAUGGACCUGCGGUGCAUUAGCUAGUUGGUGAGGUAACGGCACACCAAGUCGACGAUGCAUAGCCGGCCUGAGAGGGCGGACGGCCACAUUGGGACUGAGACACGGCCCAAACUCCUACGGGAGGCAGCAGUAGGGAAUUUUCGUCAAUGGGGGGAACCCUGAACGAGCAAUGCCGCGUGAGUGAGGAAGGUCUUCGGAUCGUAAAGCUCUGUUGUAAGAGAAAAACGACAUUCAUAGGGAAUGAUGAGUGAGUGAUGGUAUCUUACCAGAAAGUCCCGGCUAACUACGUGCCAGCCGCCGCAGUAA
rnacentral:rRNA from 1 species